GAGCAGUGGUGAGCUAUGCAGUUCUAUGCUCGCAGCAAGAGGAGCCCAGCUGUCUGAACAAGCUGCAUGAGCCUCUGCUGCUGGGAACUCAGACUACCUCAUUUUAUGAACUGUGGAUCUCUAUCAGCAGCAGAGUGCCUCAAAGACAUACAAGACAAAGAAUGGCUUUGCUAGCUGAGACUACUAUACACUCCCAGACAGAAGACAGCAGAAGACACCUGGAAAGAUGAUUACGAAUGGCAAGGUGGCUGAAUCCUGGCAUAGGA
rnacentral:lncRNA from 1 species